rnacentral:tRNA from 1 species
GGAGGAGUGUCUGAGCGGUUUAAGGUGCAUCGUUGGAAACGAUGUGUGGCGUAAGUCACCGCAGGUUCAAAUCCUGUCUCCUCCG